rnacentral:rRNA from 1 species
AUGAACGCUGGCGGCGUGCCUCAUACAUGCAAGUCGAGCGAACAGAUGAGGAGCUUGCUCCUCUGACGUUCGCGGCGGACGGGUGAGUAACACGUGGAUAACCUACCUAUAAGACUGGGAUAACUUCGGGAAACCGGAGCUAAUACCGGAUAAUAUAUUGAACCGCAUGGUUCAAUAGUGAAAGACGGUUUUGCUGUCACUUAUAGAUGGAUCCGCGCCGCAUUAGCUUGUUGGUAAGGUAACGGCUUACCAAGGCAACGAUGCGUAGCCGACCUGAGAGGGUGAUCGGCCACACUGGAACUGAGACACGGUCCAGACUCCUACGGGAGGCAGCAGUAGGGAAUCUUCCGCAAUGGGCGAAAGCCUGACGGAGCAACGCCGCGUGAGUGAUGAAGGUCUUCGGAUCGUAAAACUCUGUUAUUAGGGAAGAACAAAUGUGUAAGUAACUAUGCACGUCUUGACGGUACCUAAUCAGAAAGCCACGGCUAACUACGUG